GAUGAACGCUGGCGGCGUGCCUAAUACAUGCAAGUCGAGCGAACGGACGAGAAGCUUGCUUCUCUGAUGUUAGCGGCGGACGGGUGAGUAACACGUGGAUAACCUACCUAUAAGACUGGGAUAACUUCGGGAAACCGGAGCUAAUACCGGAUAAUAUUUUGAACCGCAUGGUUCAAAAGUUAAAGACGGUCUUGCUGUCACUUAUAGAUGGAUCCGGGCUGCAUUAGUUAGUUGGUAAGGUAACGGCUUACCAAGGCAACGAUGCAUAGCCGACCUGAGAGGGGAAUCGGCAAAACGGAAACGAGGAACGGGUCAGACCUCUAAGGGGAGGAAGAGGGAGGGAAUCUUCAGAAAUGGGGGAAAGCCUGACGAAGCAACGCGGCGUGAGUGAUGAGGGUCUUCGGUUCGUAAAACUCUGUUAUUGGGAAGGAACAUAUGUGUAAGUAACUGUGCACAUCUGGAGGGAACCAAAGAAGAAGGCCACGGCUAAUUACGG
rnacentral:rRNA from 1 species